AUGUUAAUGUGUGAUAUGUUAACAUCGGUUUUUCAAAAAACCAAUGUUAACGUGUAUGCAUUAACAU
rnacentral:pre_miRNA from 1 species